rnacentral:rRNA from 1 species
AAAUUGAAGAGUUUGAUCAUGGCUCAGAUUGAACGCUGGCGGCAGGCCUAACACAUGCAAGUCGAACGGUAACAGGAAACAGCUUGCUGUUUCGCUGACGAGUGGCGGACGGGUGAGUAAUGUCUGGGAAGCUGCCUGAUGGAGGGGGAUAACUACUGGAAACGGUAGCUAAUACCGCAUAACGUCGCAAGACCAAAGAGGGGGACC